UUGAUAGCACAUACUAAAAAUACUUUAAUUGGAAUGACACAAAAAACGAUUAUCAUGGCCCCGGCGCAAGAAUGACAUGCAAAUUUGUGAAGCAUUCCAUAUUUUG
ensembl:snRNA U6 U6 spliceosomal RNA